AAAUGCGAUAAGUAAUGUGAAUUGCAGAAUUCUGUGAAUCAUCGAAUCUUUGAACGCACAUUGCGCCCGCCAGUAUUCUGGCGGGCAUGCCUGUUCGAGCGUCAUUACAACCCUCAGGCCCCCGGGCCUGGCGUUGGGGAUCGGCGGAAGCCCCCUGCGGGCACAACGCCGUCCCCCAAAUACAGUGGCGGUCCCGCCGCAGCUUCCAUUGCGUAGUAGCUAACACCUCGCAACUGGAGAGCGGCGCGGCCACGCCGUAAAACACCCAACUUCUGAAUGUUGACCUCGAAUCAGGUAGGAAUACCCGCUGAACUUAAGC
rnacentral:misc_RNA from 1 species